UACGUAGGGGGCGAGCGUUGUCCGGAUUUAUUGGGCGUAAAGAGCGUGUAGGCGGCCAGGUAGGUCUGCUGUGAAAACUCGAGGCUCAACCUCGAGACGUCGGCGGAAACCAUCUGGCUAGAGUCCGGAAGAGGAGAGUGGAAUUCCUGGUGUAGCGGUGAAAUGCGCAGAUAUCAGGAAGAACACCCGUGGCGAAGGCGGCUCUCUGGGACGGUACUGACGCUGAGACGCGAAAGCGUGGGGAGUGAACAGG
rnacentral:rRNA from 1 species